GUUAGGAUGGCCAAGCGGUCUAAGGCGCUGCGUUCAGGUCGCAGUCCACUUUCGUCCGCGUGGGUUCGAAUCCCACUUCUGGCA
rnacentral:tRNA from 1 species